rnacentral:rRNA from 1 species
GAUGAACGCUGGCGGCGUGCCUAAUACAUGCAAGUCGAGCGAACGGACGAGAAGCUUGCUUCUCUGAUGUUAGCGGCGGACGGGUGAGUAACACGUGGAUAACCUACCUAUAAGACUGGGAUAACUUCGGGAAACCGGAGCUAAUACCGGAUGAUAUUUUGAACCGCAUGGUUCAAAAGUGAAAGACGGUCUUGCUGUCACUUAUAGAUGGAUCCGCGCUGCAUUAGCUAGUUGGUAAGGUAACGGCUUACCAAGGCAACGAUGCAUAGCCGACCUGAGAGGGUGAUCGGCCACACUGGAACUGAGACACGGUCCAGACUCCUACGGGAGGCAGCAGUAGGGAAUCUUCCGCAAUGGGCGAAAGCCUGACGGAGCAACGCCGCGUGAGUGAUGAAGGUCUUCGGAUCGUAAAACUCUGUUAUUAGGGAAGAACAUAUGUGUAAAUAACUGUGCACAUCUUGACGGUACCUAAUCAGAAAGCCACGGCUAACUACGUG